GCCCUCUCCCAGCCCCGGCGCCGGCCUCGCCCUGCCCGGGUCACGAGGCGCCCCUCGUGCUGCGGCCCUGCCCCUGGGGCCGCCACCUGACCCGACCGCCCCUCGGGCCCGCACCCCGCCGGCGUCAGCAUCCUGGGGCGCCGUGCGCGGAAGUGUGGGUCCCUCGGGCGGGCACCCUGCCAUCCCUCCCCGCGUUCUUUCCACCCCAGUCCCCCUUAGUCCCCUCCCGACCCCCACCCUCCUCGACGAGGCCUUGUGCGUUCCUUUUUGCAUCGUUAAACACCUGCCUUCCCGGCCUGUCGCAAGCCAGAUCCGGGAGCGCGGCGGGCCCACGCGCCCUCAGGGGUGGCCCUGAGCUGCCUUCGUGGGGCUCCAACAGGGACACGCACAGCCUGCUGUUGGGGACGGCACGGCCCCGAAUCCGGCGCCCCAGGACCCCCGCCGCCCGCCCUCCUGCCUGACGGUGACCCUACCGGCCUUGUUCCAAGGAGCAAGCCGGAUCCAGGACGCGGCCCGGGGCCACCAGUCCCCAUCCCAGCAGGGAGAGCCCGGGGAAGACCCGCGCAGGCCUGGCAGGUGGGGACGGCAGCGCAGUCACACUCAGGAAGGGAGGCCUGGGCCACUCUCCCAGGAAGGCGCGGGGCUGCAGCAGACAGCGCCGCCGAAAGCCCCAGGCCUGUGCAGGACCCAGGGGAAGUGGGGGUCCACAGCGUCACUUUACCCUGGAGUUAUCCAAGACCUGGCUAUGGGGAGGGAAGCUAAGCCGAGGGCUGUGGGGGCCCCAAGGCUAAGGAGUAGCCAGGAAGUCAGCCGCACAGAACAGAAGGGGAUGGCCACCCUGGUACCCACAACUCAAGACUGCGAGUCCCAGGUGGAGCCAAGCGAAUCUUCCCCUGCCUGCGAGGGGCCUGCCCAAGCCGUCCUCCGGUCCACCUGCGUGGCAGGAGUCCUGGGAGUUCCCCAGCCACACAAGGCCCAGGUUUCCUGCAGGAGCUGCUUUAGAGUAGGGGGGUGGGGCUGCAGCCACCAACGGCACGUGGUAGUUGUAAUCUGGAGGCAGCUGCUCUGAGGGAGGAGCCAGGAGACUCGUGAAGACCUUACAGAAACCUCCAUCGAGGCUUCGCUGCUAGGAGUGGCCACAGACAGCAGGGCGUGGGCUUCCAGAGGGCUCCACCCAAAAUAAGAGACUUACAAAAGCAGGUGACUUGGGAGUGACACUGGCAUCUGGGAAUGGAUCCUGUGCUUGGGGCCUCACGAGGCUCCAGCGGUCCCCGUCCUUGCAUGUUUCGUCAUUGGUUUGUCAAAUAGUUAAGUGCCUGAGCAUUAGGGAUGGGAAGGAGAGCUGGCUCCUGGGUGAAGCCCUGGGCUGGAGUGAUCAGCAGGGGCCCAGCAGUGUGGAUCCCAGCCCUCCAGCCUGUAGGCUCCAGCCACAUACAGUGAUGUCUGGGGGCUGCAGGCCACAGAGAUCCCCUUCCCCUCCUGGAGGGGCUCAGGUGGGCUCUGCAGCCCACCCCACAGCAGUGAACCAUCCCCAGCUCCUGGGCCCCCACUCCUCGGCAGCCUUAGCACCAGGCCCAAGAAAUCUCGGCCAGAGAAUGAGGACCCUGCCCACCCACUGCCUUCUGAGACCAACCGGCCAAUCCUCUGCCUUGGCUGGAGAGACUCCGGGCUGUCCCUGUGGUUAAGGUCCCCGUCAGCAUCAGGGAGGCAGUGGCAUUCACACAGCCCUUUCCCUCAGCUGGUGCUAUUGUGGCUGCUGUGGCUCUGGAAGCAAGGCUUGGACCAAAUGCUAACACAUGGACACAUAUGCAUAGAGACACACAGAUCCACGCAGACGUGCAGAGACGUGCACACACAGAUGGACACAGACAUGCACAGACACGCGCACACACUGAUGUGGUUUGGAUUCUUUGUUCCCUCCAAAUCUCAUGUUGGAAUGUGAUUCCGUGUUGGAAGUGGGGCCUGGUGGGAGGUGUUGGAUCAUGAGGGUGGAUCCGUCGUGAAUGGCUUAGCACCAUCCCCUUGGUGAUGAGUGAGUUCUUGCUCAGUUGGCUCACUCAAGAGCGGAUUGUUUAAAAGAGUCUGGGAACUCCCCUUUUCCUUCCCCUCCUCCCACUCGCUACGUGAUGCUGGCUCCCUGUCACCUUCCACCAUGAGUGGAAGCUUCCUGAGGCCUCACAGGAACAGAUGCGGGCACCAUGCUUCCUGUACAGCCUGCAGAACCGUGAGCCAAUUAAACCUCUUUUCUGUAU
ensembl:lncRNA